UACGUAGGGCGCAAGCGUUGUCCGGAAUUAUUGGGCGUAAAGAGCUUGUAGGCGGUUUGUCACGUCUGCUGUGAAAAUCCGGGGCUCAACCCCGGACUUGCAGUGGGUACGGGCAGACUAGAGUGUGGUAGGGGAGACUGGAAUUCCUGGUGUAGCGGUGAAAUGCGCAGAUAUCAGGAGGAACACCGAUGGCGAAGGCAGGUCUCUGGGCCACUACUGACGCUGAGAAGCGAAAGCAUGGGGAGCGAACAGG
rnacentral:rRNA from 1 species